GGACAUCAUUAAACCUCUAAUUGCAAGACAAGUGGCUAUGAUGAUUAUGGGGGUGUUUUAAAUGGAGGUCCUCUGCUUUCUAUGGCGUGGGAAUAAACUUUAACAAAAUUAUAAGAUAUUCUCACAUUAGGCAACUUGGUCUGUAGAUGGAUGAUCUGUGCAAUAAAUUAAAACGACUGCCUCCAGCAAGUGCGAUAGGCUUAUCACAGGGAUUAUACUGAUAAAUAAAUGUAU